AUUGAACGCUGGCGGCAUGCCUUACACAUGCAAGUCGAACGGCAGCACGGGAGCAAUCCUGGUGGCGAGUGGCGAACGGGUGAGUAAUAUAUCGGAACGUGCCCAGUCGUGGGGGAUAACGCAGCGAAAGCUGUGCUAAUACCGCAUACGAUCUACGGAUGAAAGCGGGGGAUCGCAAGACCUAGCGCGAUUGGAGCGGCCGAUAUCAGAUUAGUUAGUUGGUGGGGUAAAGGCUCACCAAGGCGACGAUCUGUAGCUGGUCUGAGAGGACGACCAGCCACACUGGAACUGAGACACGGUCCAUACUCCUACGGGAGGCAGCAGUGGGGAAUUUUGGACAAUGGGCGCAAGCCUGAUCCAGCAAUGCCGCGUGCAGGAUGAAGGCCUUCGGGUUGUAAACUGCUUUUGUACGGAGCGAAACGGUCUUUCCUAAUACGAGAGGCUAAUGACGGUACCGUAAGAAUAAGCACCGGCUAACUACGUGCCAGCCGCCGCCGUAA
rnacentral:rRNA from 1 species